UACGGAGGGUGCGAACGUUAAUCGGAAUCACUGGGCGUAAAGCGCGCGUAGGCGGAUUGUUAAGUCGGGGGUGAAAUCCCGAGGCUCAACCUCGGAACUGCCUUCGAUACUGGCGAUCUUGAGUCCGGGAGAGGUGAGUGGAACUCCUAGUGUAGAGGUGAAAUUCGUAGAUAUUAGGAAGAACACCAGUGGCGAAGGCGGCUCACUGGCCCGGUACUGACGCUGAUGUGCGAAAGCGUGGGGAGCAAACAGG
rnacentral:rRNA from 1 species